AGUUUUGAGUGCUAUAUCUCUAUCAAGAAACAGCCAUGUACACUGGUACAGGAUCCACACAACUCUCUAUUACUCAGUUGAGAUCAAAGAGUCUGAGACAUUUGAUACAUUACACCAGGCCAGAUCCCAAAUUCCCAACUCAGACAGCAGCAACAAUCCCAUACACACUUUUGCCAAAAAAAAAAAAAAAACCAUACACCCACCGACUGUCGUCACGUCGUUACAAGUUUGACUUGGUUUCCGCAUCAAAUUGCAAAAGGCGAGUGCGAUGGCAUUAGAUGUUGCUGAAUUGCUGUGGAGCAAGUUCUUGAAGUCUCUGGCAGAGCUAGACUCUGAAUCUAAUUCAGGUUCUAUUACCAUCUCUGUCUUCAAAUCAUCAAUAAAAGCUCUCGUGUCUGAUUUCGAAGCAAUCAAAGAUGUUGUGAAUGAGAGAGACGUAAUGCCGGAACCUUAUUCCUACUCUGAAACUAUCAAUCUGCUCUACAAACUCAACGAUGCAUUGGCUGAUUGCCGAGUCUUCACACACGAGUGUAUGGAGCUUAAUAAUGUGAUCUCACGCUUCAACUUUCGAAGAUUUACUUUUGUCGCAAAGGUAAAGAGUCGGUUGACCAAAAUAAAGCAGGAGCUUGAGAACUUGCCGCAACAACCAAUUGGCAAUCCUCGGACAAAGACCGAAUUCACCGGAUCCGGACCGAAAGUGCCUUCAGCCAAAGUUUUUGGAUUUGAUGAGCAAUUAAAGGAGAUUAAUGAGGAGUUGCUACAAGCAGGGGGUUCCAGUUCUAGCAGUGCUGGUGAACUGAGGGCAAUUGGGGUAGUUGGAAUUGCUGGAGUGGGUAAGACCACCCUGGUUCAGAAGGUUUUGGAGAGCAAGGAAGUGAAGCAGAAGUUUAAUCAUAUACUUUGGUUACCCUUUUCGUUGAGUGUGGAAGAAGAACAAUAUAGUAAGUUCAGCUUUGAGACACGUAUCUUUGAUAGUAAUGACCAAAGCAUGGAGGCGAAGAUUGUUGGCCUUGAGAAGCUCCUGGAAAGGCUAAGCCGCCUGCUGUUAUCGGAUAAAUGCUAUUUGAUUGUGUUGGAUGAUGUGUGUCAUCGGCACAUUAACAUUAUGGAACGCUUAUGCAGCGGAUUGCCCAAGCAUAAUGGUGGUGUUGUCAUUGUCACUACUAGAUUGAAGGAAGUGGCUCAAAAGCUGGGGAAACAACAUAGAUUGCAUCUGGUUCAUGUUAAGCCUCUGGACAGAGAGAUUUGCGGGCGUAUAUUUGAGGAGCAGGCUUAUUCCAUUAGAAAAAGUUCAAACCUCUCACAUGAUGAGGCUACGAGAAAGAUGGAGGAACUCAAGGAUCAGUGCCAUGGUCUACCGUUGGUUGCGAAGACGAUAGCAAAUGCUUUUGCAGUGGGAUUUGGAGGCGACGGAUCUGAAGAGAGAGAUGGAGAUCACGGGGAGGAAGUAGGAACUUUUGAAGAAUCAGUUGAAGACGACCAGGGUUCAAGAAUUGCUGACCUGACCCAUCAUGUUCAAGAAUCUUCUUGAAGCAUCAGUUCAGUAAUCUGCAAAGCAAGAUGUUACCAGCAUAUUUCACCAUGGUGGGGAUUUAUCAGUAGCUUCAUUUGGGUAUUUGCAUCCAUGGAACUCUUCCACUGUAGCAGACAAGUACCAACUCGACUUUUUGCUUUCAGUUCACUAAUUUGUUUGUCUUCACACCCAUGACUAUUGAGAUAUUGAAGAAUAGAAGGGGCAUAAGGUAGAGAGGGAACAGAACAUUGUGGAAGAAGUGGGAUGGACCAAAAAUGUGCAAGUUGUGAAGGUGAACCCAAAACUAGCAGCCAUGAAUAAGAAGUUCAGGAUGAUUCACAGAUAGAUGGAAGGGGACACAGUUCACAAGAAGAGGGAAAGAGAGAAGACAAAUGAGGAAGAUGGUAAAGAAGUUUAAGGGAAAAUUGAGAAUUUCCGUAGUUAAGGAGUGUGGUUUGAUUGAUUCUAUGCAGGAGGGACUAUCAGGCCGUCGUACACGAUACAAGAAUUUUGGUAUACAUUUGAUUGAUUGAGUAAUCAGGAGUGUGCCUCUCCCCUAAACAAGGCUGAAGCUUUUGUGGAAUGCAUGCUGACAAGGAUUUGACUAGUAAUUGGGGUUGGGAAGCAUUUUCAGUAAUCUGUAUCUUAAGAAUAAGCAGCAGGCCGGGAGCCUGAUAUUUGGUGUUUGUGCAAAUGGACCAUUCAGAUCCUGCCACCUCAAUCGUUGAAGGCUACUUGAAGGAUUAUGUAUCACAUGGUCUUUCACCAGAAAGGAAAUUUGGAAUGCAUUUAACUGAUUGAAGUGGCCCUAAGCUAAACUAGGUACAUGUUAUCGCUCAGCAUCUUAAAUAAUCCAAUUUCAUACUUAAAAGGCUUGAAUUUGAGCACUUUCUAGUUGUCAAAUUAUCUUAUUUUACUACAUUUGAUAACUAAUUUCCAUGGCAUGGGUUUUCUUGUCCCUAAGUUUUUGUGGAAUGGAUGUGGAUGCUGAAUGGAAUAUAGUAGGUACAUGGGAUUUGCAAGCUUUUUGUACAAUCUGUAUCCUAACAAUAGACAUGGAGCUCGGAGAAAUGGUGUUUCUUUAGCUGUACUCAGACUGAAAGUGAGUGGACAUCCUCUCUACGAAACUGUUCCACCUCACCAUCGUCAAAGGAAAUACCAUAAUAGUCUAGAUCGAUUGUGUUAAGCUACACCUGCAUAUAGUCCGGCCCCUUUAUUGAGAACUAUGUCCCUAAUAUUGCAAAUAUACCCAUUGGUACUGCUGCUUUGAGUUCUAUGUUAACAUGUGUUUGAAGCUGUCACUGAUUGCUUGGGACCUAGGGUGUUAAUGGUUAGUGAUCCUUGUCCUGCUUUCUCCAUUCGGCAGAUCAAAUCUUAAAGCUUUUAUGUGUUAUAUUAAUGUCUUUCUUACUGGUCAUGUACAUCAUUUUACUACUCAUGGAUACAAGAAUUUAUAAACAUUUGGAGCAUCAUACUUGAUUUUCACAUAUAUAAUUUGUGACUCAGAAGACUACGAUUAUGUAAUCUUUGUUCUGUUUUACUGAAAUGCGCCGCUUACUGAACAACUAAAUGAUCAGUUACUUCUCCUGGACAUUUUGAUGAACACAUUGUGUGCAGGAGAAUUUCAACUGAUUAAAGAAGCUCUUACCUAAGGGCAACUCCAA